GGCUUCGUAGCUCAGCUGGUAGAGCGUGCGCUGUACAAAAGCGUCCAUGCGUGAGUUCGGAUCCCACCGAGGCUG
rnacentral:tRNA from 1 species